GUUACGAAUCAUUUAACAGCAUAAGUCAAUUACAAAUGCAUAAACAGCAUAUGCAUAUAUAUGAAGAAGAAGAUGUACUCCGUAAGAUAAAUUCACCUCCGACAAGUACACAAGAUGCUCCACAACAUGACGAAACACGUAAUUUCUUGUGUGAUGAAUGUAACGAAUCAUUUAACAGCAUAAGUUAUUUACAAAUGCACAAACAGCUUAUGCAUACGUAUAAAGAAGAAAAUUUUAUAUGUAAGAUAUGUACCGCGCCAUUCACAAGCUUACUUGGCCUACAAAGCCAUACUCUACUUCACUUAAGCAAACAAUAUAUGUGUGAUAAAUGUAAAAAAUACUACAAGACCAAAAAAAGUUUAUACGUCCAUAUCAGACAUGUUCA